GGGGGCGUUUAUGGAUUCGACGGGGGUAGUUCGAGCAUGGGUCGCGGGUAGUGGGGACGCGUCCGCUUCAUCAACGCUAAAGCCAAUUAAAUGGCAAACAACAAACUUCUUACGCUGUAGCAGCUUAAUAACCUGCUCGCGUGCUCUCGCUCUGUAUCGCCCAUGUACCGGGAUGAGGGCCCAACUUUAGUGGGAUACGCUGUCACAUCUCCGCCUGGGGUGUGCUGAAGAAGACAAUCAGGCUGACCUUAGCGAUAGCCGGUUACGGGGCGCUUGCUAGGGUGACAUUAAAACCGUGACUACACCCGUAGAAGCCUGUGUGGCGUUAUCUUCGGACAGGGGUUCAAAUCCCCUCGCCUCCACCA
rnacentral:tmRNA from 1 species